GACGAACGCUGGCGGCGUGCUUAACACAUGCAAGUCGAACGACGAACCGAGAGCUUGCUCUUGGGGAUUAGUGGCGAACGGGUGAGUAACACGUGAGUAACCUGCCCUGGACUCUGGGAUAACCCCGAGAAAUCGGAGCUAAUACCGGAUAGGACCCUGUACCGCAUGGUGUGGGGUGGAAAGUUUUUUCGGUCGGGGAUGGACUCGCGGCCUAUCAGCUGGUUGGUGAGGUAAUGGCUCACCAAGGCGUCGACCGGUAGCCGGCCUGGGAGGGUGGCCGGCCAGACUGGGACUGAGACACGGCCCAGACUCCUACGGGAGGCAGCAGUGGGGAAUAUUGCACCAUGGGCGCAAGCCUGAUGCAGCAACGCCGCGUGCGGGAUGACGGCCUUCGGGUUGUAAACCGCUUUUAGUAAGGAAGAAGGGGAGCUUGCUCCUUGACGGUACUUGCAGAAAAAGGACCGGCUAACUACGUGCCAGCAGCCGCAGUAAGAC
rnacentral:rRNA from 1 species